rnacentral:lncRNA from 1 species
UCCUAGGCCCUUUAUCUAAGAAUCAAAUGCUCCCACAGCUAUAACACAUUCCUGCCCUGGUUUGUCUUAUGAACUGAGCAUUUUGCUGGCAUCACAGUCUUAACAGGGAUGAAUGAACAGGGCCAGCCUAGGGCCGCGAAGGAGCUGAAUGCAACCUGCAAUCCUGAAAUAUGGAGGCUAACACAGACCAAGGACCCUUUUGCCUCAUAACAGCUGGAGAGUCUGUGUUAAGAUUAUUCUUUUUAAAUGGAACCGGAUGACCCAGAACAACUACAAAACAGGAGUCUCUUUCUUCCUAGUGUGGAAUUUUGCAUUAUACCUAUCAAGAAUCAAGGA